rnacentral:lncRNA from 1 species
AAUGAAAGCUGUGUAUCAUCUUCUAGAUUUAUUGAAAUGGAAGGUUUGUGGUCACCACGAUAUAUUUCAAGCACUAAUAUAAUUCAAGUGAUUUGGGUAGUACCAUCUCCAGUGUAUGAAACUGCAUGGAGAUAAAGCACAUGAGUCAUAUUUUGAACAAAUUUGCAUCGACAUAGCUGCAUUUAUGAGUGUACUCAUCCCAAAAAUGGUGGACAAUAAGACUAUGGUCUACAAAAUAUUCAUGGUUGUAGAUUCAUUAUAGUCAAUAAAAGAGGAGUGUAAGCUCUAACUGACAAGGAAUACUGUACGCACAUGCCUGGUUGUUCAGAUAUUCCUGGUGUUUUAUCAAGUCUCAUCUGAAUUGAAGCCAGCAAGAUACUCCUUUAUGAGAGCUGGGAUAUAUUGUCAUGUUCUAGUAAUCUUUGAGGAAAUGCAUAAGUUUUUACAGUAAUAUUAGAAAUGACAGUUUGGGUAUAUGUGGCAGUAAAAUUUAUAAAAUAUAAGUACUAGUUUUAAAAUAAAGUAGUAUUA